AUUGAACGCUGGCGGCAUGCUUUACACAUGCAAGUCGAACGGGAACAGGCCUUCGGGUGCUGACGAGUGGCGAACGGGUGAGUAAUGCAUCGGAACGUACCCAGAGGUGGGGGAUAACGCAGCGAAAGCUGUGCUAAUACCGCAUGUGAUCUGAGGAUGAAAGCGGGGGACCGAGCAGCAAUGUUUGGCCUCGCGCCUUUGGAGCGGCCGAUGUCGGAUUAGCUAGUUGGUGGGGUAAAGGCCUACCAAGGCGACGAUCCGUAGCUGGUCUGAGAGGACGACCAGCCACACUGGGACUGAGACACGGCCCAGACUCCUACGGGAGGCAGCAGUGGGGAAUUUUGGACAAUGGGCGCAAGCCUGAUCCAGCAAUGCCGCGUGCGGGAAGAAGGCCUUCGGGUUGUAAACCGCUUUUGGCAGGAACGAAACGGUGUCCGCUAAUACCGGGCGCUAAUGACGGUACCUGCAGAAUAAGCACCGGCUAACUACGUG
rnacentral:rRNA from 1 species